rnacentral:rRNA from 1 species
UACGGAGGGUGCAAGCGUUGUCCGGAAUCACUGGGCGUAAAGGGCGCGUAGGCGGCUCAUGAAGGCUGUGGUGAAAGUCCGGGGCUCAACCUCGGAUCGGCCGUGGCGACUCGUGGGCUGGAGCACUGUAGAGGCGGGUGGAAUUCCCGGUGUAGUGGUGGAAUGCGCAGAUAUCAGGAGGAACACCGAUGGCGAAGGCAGGUCUCUGGGCCACUACUGACGCUGAGAAGCGAAAGCAUGGGGAGCGAACAGG